CCCCGGCCCCGGCGCUGCCCCUCCAGCGCUCCGGCGUCCGCUAGGUGCUGCAGCAGCUCUCCAGAGCCUGGUGCGCUUUCUCGUUUCCGUUUAUAGCCAUUUGCRCCGUUGCGGCCCAAAUGCUGCCCGCAGGAGCAGCACCGCAGGUCCUGCUGAGCGCGCUGGAAACCGGGCGCUCGUCUCCGCGUGAGCUGGUGCAACCACGAAUCGCUCGGAAAACAUCAUCCAGAAUCACCGUGUUGUAAAGACCUGGCCGUAACGCGUAGGAAAGGAUCUGCUUUGGCUUGCCCCUAAUUUUGCGCGAUGGGGUGGAAGUACGCCCUGUUUACGGCUGCCGGGAAAUUCCUCCUUGCCCCAUUCCUGGGAAACACGCGGACUUCAUUUGCUGGCGCGCCUGGCUGCCUAUAUUGGCUACGACAGGUWCGCGACUCGCCGGGUUACGCGACCUGUUCCCCAGGUGACUCGAGCUAAAUGCGCUUCCUGCUCGCCCAAACUCCAGCUAAGCCGGCGAAAACCACACGGAGGCCCCUGGGGCACCAUCCCGGAGAGCGGGAUGCAUUUUACAUAUAAACAUAUAAAUGUGUCCCAUUUGCAUAUAAAUACCGACAUAUCCCUAUACCUACCUACACCGCCCUCACCUGAGGAUUUCCAGCAGGGGUAAAGACGAAAGGUUGCGUGCCUUGAAAUCUUUCCGCUAAAACGUGGCACGGAUCUGCCCCGGCCUUUGCACGGGGAGGCCCCUGCCUCUCCGCCGGCUCCCCGGUGAGGUUGCAAGUUGUUUGGACCAGCAACGAGCUUUCACUCUGCUCGUACGACAUUUCACACCUUGAGCCCCCCCUUUUGGGUUGGUUUCUGGUCGCUAUUGGAUUAUUUAACAGCAUUGUAUACGUAUAUUAACAGCAAAAAUAAUUUAAAAAAAAAAAGGAAAAAGUUAUCUGUGGAAAGUGCCUCGCCAGUACAAGGUCUGAAUCCAGAAUCAAGCAGGAUGAGACUAAAUGCUGAGAGCCAUCUUCCUGCAGACUCCCUGCUGUGUCCCAGCAAGCGCCGGGCGCUGCAGCGCGUGAAGCUAGCCGUGCGUCCGCAGCGGGGCUCUGCAGAGCAGCUCGUUUUUGUCUCAGGAGGGACACUCGCAGUCAACACGYGUGGUGCUCGGAAAACGUCAGCUCYGUGACAGUAAAUGGCAGCAGAGCAUUGCUGAYGGCCUUGGGCACCCACGAAGGGGCUGGGCACAUUCACGGAGGGCAAGYUGUCCAUGCUAAACGCUGGCGAAACCGCCUGCUGCCAGAAGCAGGAAGGGAUUGCAAAGGAAAGUGACACUUCAUAGUGUUGCUUUUAUUUUUCCCCUGUACGUUUGGUCACCCCAACCGACGGGAACCUGAACGACUGCCUUCGGCGUGUCCCAGCGCCACUCCUCUGUUCUUACCUUCCUAUGCAAUUUCCCAGCUAAGCYAGCUAAAAAUACUCCUUCGCAUUGUACUUUCUAACUUCCUGUACAUUUUCUCUUUAGACAAAAGUGGAGAUCGUUGCCAAAAUCAAAUACUCAGGGAACUCUAUUACACAUAAAGUCAACUGUUACCAUGUGACAUCUGCAAACAUCUGGAAUUCAUCUCUCCCUGGUAUGAUCUCUCUCCAUGUGGGACUCCAGCAUGCUCAAAUAUCAGCCUCGAGGAGAGGUUACACAGCUUUUUCAAAGCUGACACAACUCCUGCAGGAAAGGUCUUGCAGAUAAUUGAAAUUUCAAUUUCCUACAGUUCAGAAAAACUGCAAAAAAAUUAACACUGUCAAAAUUGACGGGGAACAGACAGAUUUUAAAAAUAUUUAAUGAUAAGUCUUUUAACCUAAGGAAUGCAUUCUGUUUCCAAGAUUUAUGAGAUUUUUUUUCUCCUUUGUCCUCAAAGUCAGAUGUGAAAUGUUUUUCAUCUGUGUGUUUCGACGAAAAUGUUUGAACCAAAAUAAUAUUCCCCAGCAGUGCUAUGAAUUAACCCACAUU
ensembl:lncRNA